AUGAUCUUUUUAAAAUUUAAUCAAUGCAUCCAAAGUGUAACUCUACACAUCAAGCAUCAUUAACUUCAUGCAGGAAAACCUAGUUUUUUUUUUGAUACAAAGGUAUCAAAGAUCGAUGACAUGCAACUUGGCGGGCGUCAGCUAUGAUCAACCGGUUCAAAUCUUUAGGGAGAUGGUUUGAUCUCACAACUGCAUCUUGGUUCGUGCACGCCUCCCUUGCAAGAUAAUUAGCUACUUGGUUGCCUUCUCUAAAAAAUCUGAGUA
rnacentral:lncRNA from 1 species